rnacentral:rRNA from 1 species
UACGAAGGGGGCUAGCGUUGUUCGGAAUUACUGGGCGUAAAGGGCGCGUAGGCGGCCCGGAUAGUCAGAUGUGAAAGCCCAGGGCUCAACCCUGGAAUAGCAUUUGAUACUGUCGGGCUUGAGGGUGGGAGAGGAUGGUGGAAUUCCCAGUGUAGAGGUGAAAUUCGUAGAUAUUGGGAAGAACACAGGUGGCGAAGGCGGCCAUCUGGACCAUUUCUGACGCUGAGGCGCGAAAGCGUGGGGAGCAAACAGG